AUUUUGUAAAUGUAAGUAACAAUAAAGAAUAAAACUAUAGCUGAUUAGAUGGUGCCCACCCACAUUGAGGGUGGGUCUGCCUCUCCCAGUCCACUAACACAAAUGUUAAUCUCCUUUGGCAACACCCUCACAGAUACAUCCAGGAACAAUACUUUGCUUUCUAGUGGGAAAGACAAAAUAGGGAAACUUUAUAACUGUAACCAAUCAAAUAUUAUCUUUGUUUUACUUCUGCAUUCAUCCCAUAAAAGCCUGACUUCCUUCAGUUUUUUUUCUGAUUCAGAAAUCAGCUUGCUUUCUCUCUUUCUCUUUCAGGGAUGCCAAUGUGUUGUAGAUUUGGUCUCUAUACAUAAUCCCGUGUUUUUCAGAGGUUUUGUUCGUUCUUGUUUAGUCUUUUUUGUUUUCUGACUGAGUUAUUUCAGAUGCAACCUCCUAAGAUUGAGUCAUGAAUAAUUUGAAUCCCUGAGCAGACCAGUAAUGAGUUUUGAAACUGAAUCAGCAAUAAAUAACCAGAGAGGUGAAACAUCUUUAAAACAAGAACUACAAAAUUCUGCUCAAAGAAAUCAGAGAUGACACAAACAAAUAAAGAAAAAUGUUCCAUGUCCAUAGAUAGAAUCAUGAAAAUUUCCUGUUCAUUAUAUUUUCCAUCAGGUUGUUU
rnacentral:lncRNA from 1 species